CUGUACAUAAAUACUAAUAUUUGUUUGCUUCAUUUUUCAGAUCAAAGAAAACGUUUGCAGUAUUUUCCCACUAAAGAGGAGCAGUUUAUUGAGGCAGAUUUUGAUAAAGAGAAUGGGUGCCAUACAUCAGACCUCACAUUAAAUCAGGGACGAAACGAGAGAUGUCAUCCUCUGUUGCUGGUCUAUCUGUAUAAAUAAGAUGAAGAGCUCAUCCAGGAGUGCAAUUGUGGGAAUGCACAGAGAAUUGUUGUCUGUCAGAGGGAUGACCAACCAUGAGGACUUCUGCAUUGUCUUGGAGGAUAAGCGAGUCAUGGCUAGCUUGGAAAAUCUAGAAUUGCUGAACUAGAUUUAUACAAAUAUUCUCCAAAUAAAAAUCACUUACAAAGAAACGAAUAUUAAGUUUGACACAAAUUCACUGCUAAAACCUUUUGGGGAAAAUUUCAGUGCAUUGACUGAUUGAUUGUGUUCCUAAUAUUUUGAGAUAUGGCUUUUAUACUGGUUUUAGAUGUUAUGCAAUACACUAAUUCUGUCAAAUUUUGUCUAAAAUGUGACUGUUCCUAUAAAAGAAAGUUGACAGAACAUUUUAUUUUCCAUGACAUGGAUAAAGGUAUUU